CUACGCACUCCUACGGGGGCAGCAGUGGGGAAUAUUGCACAAUGGGCGCAAGCCUGAUGCAGCCAUGCCGCGUGUAUGAAGAAGGCCUUCGGGUUGUAAAGUACUUUCAGCAGUGAGGAAGGUGGGUAUGUUAAUAGCAUACUCAUUUGACGUUAGCUGCAGAAGAAGCACCGGCUAACUCCGUGCCAGCAGCCGCGGUAAUACGGAGGGUGCGAGCGUUAAUCGGAAUUACUGGGCGUAAAGCGCAUGCAGGUGGUUGUUAAGUCAGAUGUGAAAGCCCGGGGCUCAACCUCGGAAUUGCAUUUGAAACUGGCAAACUAGAGUACUGUAGAGGGGGUAGAAUUUCAGGUGUAGCGGUGAAAUGCGUAGAGAUCUGAAGGAAUACCGGUGGCGAAGGCGGCCCCCUGGACAGAUACUGACACUCAGAUGCGAAAGCGUGGGGAGCAAACAGGAUUAGAUACCCUGGUAG
rnacentral:rRNA from 1 species